GAAAAGAAAUCAACCGAGAUUCCCUCAGUAGCGGCGAGCGAACGGGGACCAGCCCUUAAGCUGGACAACUGGUAGGAGAAGGCCCUGGAAAGAGCCGCCAUAGUGGGUGAUAGCCCCGUAUCCGUAAAAUGAAGACCUUUUAGAGUAGGGCGGGACACGUGAAAUCCUGUCUGAACAUGGGGGGACCACCCUCCAAGCCUAAGUACUCCUUACCGACCGAUAGUGAACAAGUACCGUGAGGGAAUGAUGAAAAGAACCCCGAUGAGGGGAGUGAAACAGAUCCUGAAACCGGAUGCCUACAAGCUGAUGGAGCUCUUCGGAGUGACAUCGUACCUUUUGUAUAAUGGGUCA
rnacentral:rRNA from 1 species